CUGCGGAAGGAUCAUUACAGAAUUUAGAGCUUAAUUGCUUUAUACACAUGUGUUUUUUGAUAAUACAACUUGCUUUGGUGGUGCUUUAUUGUCGCCACCAGAGAUAAACUUAACAAACGUUUAUUAUUUAGUCAACAAGAAAUCUAAUAGUUAAAACUUUCAACAACGGAUCUCUUGGUUCUCGCAUCGAUGAAGAACGCAGCGAAAUGCGAUAAGUAAUAUGAAUUGCAGAUAUUCGUGAAUCAUCGAAUCUUUGAACGCACAUUGCGCCCUUUGGUAUUCCAAAGGGCAUGCCUGUUUGAGCGUCAUUUCUCCCUCAAACCAAUUGGUUUGGUGUUGAGCAAUACGCCGGGUUUGCUUGAAAGAUAGAGGAGUAAUUUCAAUGGAUAGGUCUAACCACACUCAUUGGCAAAAAACUCCAAUAUUCUUCCAAAUUCGACCUCAAAUCAGGUAGG
rnacentral:rRNA from 1 species